UCUGCGUCCAGAGAUGAGCAGUCUAAUGCGAUAUUGGAUGACAAAUUAACAGGAACUUACGAACAACUUAGCUACGCAAACAACAUCAAAACAUUUUUGACGAGCCAACCGAAAACCUAUUCAUCAUCAUCAUCAUCAUCAUCAGACAAAAGAAGUGGUAAUGACAGUAAAACAGACGGAAGUAAUUUCAUUGAUUCUGAUGAAGUAACAGAUUUUGGAGUCGACAUUCCAUAUCCAAAACCACCUAGUUUUUGUAGCAGCACUAAGGUUCUUGUAUCUGAGAAAGAAGAUAUGGUCCUUAGUCCUUCUUGUCACACAGACGAAAUGGUUGAGGAGACCAGUCGAGAAGCACAGAUAAUAGAUUCAGCCAUUCAGGAACCUAAUGUUCUCGUGUCAUUGACACAGGAGACACUUCGGGAACAUACAAAACAACAGGAAAAGAUGUAUUUAGAACAGGCAAAACAAGAUAGCAUUCAGGUUUUACUCAACAUGACCAGUAAAUACAGUGUGCAACAGGAAUCUUCAAAGGGAUUAAAACGGGGACAUUUCACUGAUCUCGAUGAAACCCGUAAAUUUAAGUCAUUCAAAACAGAGGAUGUAAGUAUGUUGUCUCCACCUUUUCCUAUGACAACAGCAGGUCUCGUAAUGAAACCAGCAAGUGGACAGCCCAAAAUAGCCUUUAAUAACAUGUAUGGAAUUGGUUUGACACAGGGUACAGGGGCAAUGUAUCACGGUGGACACAUGCCUGUUGUCCAGUUGUCACAACAACCUCCAAUCACUGAUGGCAAACCAGGAAACAUGCAGUGGCCCUACUAUCCACAAUCAGGUUUAUCAUUUUACCCACAAGUGAUGGGAGGAUUUUAUCAGCCGAUGACUGUUUUAUCAUGCCCUAUGUCUUUGUGGACAUCUGGAAAUACUAG